ACAUAUAAUAUUUAAAAAAAUCAUAAAUUUUAUAUCUUUGGAAGAGGUAGGUAUUCUUUUUGUUUAUUUAUUUUAUUAUAAUUUAUGAUUUUCAAUAGACAGUUUUAUUUUUAGAAAUUCUUAUUUAAAUAAUUCAUUUUUUCAAAUAAAUAUUCAAACUAAUUCACUUUUUCAUUUAUUUUUCAAAAUAAUCCACUUUCGAAUAUAAAAUAUUUUAAUAUAAAAGAGGCGUCAAUCCAAUUGAUAUAUGUCUAUGUACAACAUAUAAAAGUAGGCGUCAAUCCAAUUGACGACAGUGUACAAACAUACAUGAGAGAUAAUACAUUCUCUCUCCUACGUAUUUGUACACCGUUGCCAUUGAAUUGACGUCUCAAUUUGUGUGUUGUACACAUAGACACCAAUUGAAUUGACGUCUCAUUUAUUUUGAUAUUUGAAAAUGUGUUACUUUAGAAAAUAGAUAGACAAGUGAGUUAUUUUAAGUAUUUAUUUAAAAUAAAUAAAUUAUUUAGAUAAAAAAUUCUUAUUUUUACACUCUGGGUAUUGAAGAUGGAUGUUACAAUAUUGAGUCAAAAUCAUUAGUUUCUACUUCCUUUAAACAUACUCCAACAUUUGGAAUGUCUUGCUUGGAAGCAUAGUUAGAGAGACCAUUCAUCGCUUAAUAAAUAAUAUGCAAUCAUAUACUAUAUCCAUGUUUGUCUCUUGCUGGUUCCUACCCCUUCCAACUUUGUCCCCACACCUUUUAAAAAAAAAUCAGAGCAAGAAAAUUAAGAAAACAAAUAAAUUAUUUAAGAGAUAAAAAAUGAUUAAAGAGAGUAUCUCUAAUAUAUAUAAAUGCUUAAAUUAUUUAUUGAAAAACACUCACACCAACAGACAUAAACAUGAAGACAGAAAGUAAUGAAAUAAAAAAUUUAAUUUAAUUUAAUUUCACAUAUGCAUGAUUAGGUAUAGUGACCUCUUGAUAUUCAAAAAGCAACAAUCUAUAGAAAACAAAAAAGGUGAAGUAGGGUUUGUUAUUGGUGGUGAUGGAAAACAACUGUAAAAUGUUAAUGCCUU
rnacentral:lncRNA from 1 species